rnacentral:tRNA from 1 species
GCCUGGGUAGCUCAGUCAGUUGAGCAUCUGACUUCCGCUCAGGUCACGAUCUCACAGUGAGUUCGAUUCCCAUGUCGGGCU